ANACNUAUUCAUUUAGAGGNUCUCUGGUGAUUCAUAAUAACUUCUCGAAUCGCACGGCCUUGCGCCGGCGAUGGUUCAUUCAAAUUUCUGCCCUAUCAACUUUCGACGGCUGGGUCUUGGCCAGCCGUGGUGACAACGGGUAACGGAGGGUUAGGGCUCGACCCCGGAGAAGGAGCCUGAGAAACGGCUACUACAUCCAAGGAAGGCAGCAGGCGCGCAAAUUACCCAAUCCCGACACGGGGAGGUAGUGACAAUAAAUACUGAUACAGGGCUCUUUCGGGUCUUGUAAUUGGAAUGAGUACAAUUUAAAUCCCUUAACGAGGAACAAUUGGAGGGCAAGUCUGGUGCCAGCAGCCGCGGUAAUUCCAGCUCCAAUAGCGUAUAUUAAAGUUGUUGAGGUUAAAAAGCUCGUAGUUGAACCUUGGGCCUAGCCGGCCGGUCCGCCUCACCGCGUGCACUGGCUCGGCUGGGUCUUUCCUUCUGGAGAACCGCAUGCCCUUCACUGGGUGUGCUGGGGAACCAGGACUUUUACUCUGAAUAAAUUAGAUCGCUUAAAGAAGGCCUAUGCUCGAAUACAUUAGCAUGGAAUAAUAGAAUAGGACGUGUGGUUCUAUUUUGUUGGUUUCUAGGACCGCCGUAAUGAUUAAUAGGGACAGUCGGGGGCAUCAGUAUUCAAUUGUCAGAGGUGAAAUUCUUGGAUUUAUUGAAGACUAACUACUGCGAAAGCAUUUGCCAAGGAUGUUUUCAUUAAUCAGGAACGAAAGNU
rnacentral:rRNA from 1 species